rnacentral:rRNA from 1 species
GACGUAGGGCGCGAGCGUUGUCCGGAUUUAUUGGGCGUAAAGCGCUCGCAGGUGGUUCGAUGCGUCGUGCGUGAAGACCCCGGCUCAACUGGGGGGUGUCGUGCGAUACGGUCGGACUGGAGGCCAGUAGGGGGAUGCGGAAUUCCGGGUGUAGUGGUGGAAUGCGUAGAGAUCCGGAGGAACACCAGCGGCGAAGGCGGCAUCCUGGACUGGUCCUGACACUCAUGAGCGAAAGCGUGGGGAGCGAUCCGG